rnacentral:rRNA from 1 species
CCUACGGGAGGCAGCAGUAGGGAAUUUUCGGCAAUGGGGGGAACCCUGACCGAGCAACGCCGCGUGAACGAAGAAGUUAUUCGUAAUGUAAAGUUCUUUUAACAGGGAAGAAAGAGAACUUUGACGGUACCUGAAGAAUAAGCUCCGGCUAACUACGUGCCAGCAGCCGCGGUAAUACGUAGGGAGCGAGUGUUAUCCGGAAUUAUUGGGCGUAAAGGGUGCGUAGAUGGCAUAGUAAGUCUUUUGUAAAAAUGCUGGGCUCAACCCAGUAGGGCAAAAGAUACUGCAAAGCUAGAGUAUGUCAGAGGCAAGUGGAACUACAUGUGUAGCGGUAAAAUGCGUAGAUAUAUGUAAGAACACCAGUGGCGAAGGCGGCUUGCUGGGUCGAUACUGACAUUGAGGCACGAAAGCGUGGGGAGCAAACAGGAUUAGAUACCCGAGUAGUC